CCCUUAGAUGUUCUGGGCCGCACGCGCGCUACACUGACGCAUUCAACAAGCCUAGCCUUGACCGAGAGGUCCGGGUAAUCUUUGAAACUGCAUCGUGAUGGGGCUAGAUUAUUGCAAUUAUUAAUCUUCAACGAGGAAUGCCUAGUAAGCGUGAUUCAUCAAAUCGCGUUGAUUACGUCCCUGCCCUUUGUACACACCGCCCGUCGCUCCUACCGAUUGAAUGUGUUGGUGAGGAGCUCGGAUUGGCAGCAGUUGGUGGUUCGCCACCGGCUAUUGCUGAGAAGUCCUCCAAACCGCCCCAUUUAGAGGAAGGAGAAGUCGUAACA
rnacentral:rRNA from 1 species